UACGUAGGGUGCGAGCGUUUAAUCGGAAUUACUGGGCAUAAAGUGUGCGCAGGCGGUUGAGCAAGUCGAGUGUGAAAGCCCCGGGCUUAACUUGGGAAUUGCGCUCGAAACUACUUGACUGGAGUGUGGCAGAGGAAGGUGGAAUUCCACGUGUAGCGGUGAAAUGCGUAGAGAUGUGGAGGAACACCAAAUGGCGAAGGCAGCCCUUCU
rnacentral:rRNA from 1 species